UAUAAAAUAAAGCGAUUUUAUUGCGCUCAGUUUCGACCUGAGUUUAGAAGUAUUCUAUUUUUUAA
rnacentral:tRNA from 1 species